UACAGAGGGUGCAAGCGUUGUUCGGAAUUAUUGGGCGUAAAGAGCGUGUAGGCGGCUUUACAGGUCCGUUGUGAAAACUCGAGGCUCAACCUCGAGACGCCGGUGGAAACCGUAAAGCUAGAGUCCGGAAGAGGAGAGUGGAAUUCCUGGUGUAGUGGUGAAAUGCGCAGAUAUCAGGAAGAACACCCGUGGCGAAGGCGGCUCUCUGGGACGGUACUGACGCUGAGGAGCGAAAGUGUGGGGAGCGAACAGG
rnacentral:rRNA from 1 species